UUUGGUGGAGUAUCCGCGUGUCAGCUGAGGGUCUGAUCAACCUUUCAGCCAGGGUCUCCUCCCGGUAUAGAGCUCUCGUGUCGUGUCGUUUAACUUCAUCUUGUGGAUUUAUCUUUUGGAUCUAUUUUUUGGUUUUUGGAUUUUUCACUUUGGACUUGGUCCCGGUCGGCUCAUCAUGCUCCUGGUGUCUGUUCUGCUGGUCAGCUGCUCCUGGAGUGCGACAGUUUCACUUUCUGGUUCAACUGCCUGAUCCUGUUCUCACAGAAGUCAUUGACUUCAAAGGGUCUAGUUGUGUGCAUAAAGGUAUUAUGUUUCCCCUGCAAGGACUUGACAUCACUAAACACUUGAAAGCAUAAGGAAUGUAGCUUCCUGCUCUGCUGUACGGGUAAUCUGGUGUCAGCAAUUCUCCUAGGAGAAACACAGAACGCUGAACUCAGGCCAUGACAGACAUUUGCAGCCAAAAGCUUUCAGACCUGGCUACCAGAGGUACACUUACAAAAUGGAGUAAAUACAAGCUGAACAACUUGUUUGCUGCAUAAGACAGGUGUCUAUACUGCUUGCAUCACUAUAGUAUGUGACCCGACUGAUGCAGAUUUUACUGUAAUUUAAAGAGAAAGGAAUACUGGACACAUACCCAGCCUCCGUUGUCCUGGAUCCAGUUGUGUAGAUGUCU